AGCGGCGAACGGGUGAGUAACACGUAGGUGAUCUGCCCAUCAGACGGGGACAACGAUUGGAAACGAUCGCUAAUACCGGAUAGGACGAAAGUUUAAAGGUGCUUCUGGCACCGCUGAUGGAUGAGCCUGCGGCGCAUUAGCUAGUUGGUAGGGUAAAGGCCUACCAAGGCGACGAUGCGUAGCCGACCUGAGAGGGUGAACGGCCACACUGGGACUGAGACACGGCCCAGACUCCUACGGGAGGCAACAGUAGGGAAUCUUCGGCAAUGGGCGAAAGCCUGACCGAGCAACGCCGCGUGAAUGAUGAAGGCCUUCGGGUUGUAAAAUUCUGUUAUAAGGGAAGAACGACUUUAGUAGGAAAUGGCUAGAGUGUGACGGUACCUUAUGAGAAAGCCACGGCUAACUACGUGCCAGCAGCCGCGGUAAUACGUAGGUGGCGAGCGUUAUCCGGAAUUAUUGGGCGUAAAGAGCGCGCAGGUGGUUGAUUAAGUCUGAUGUGAAAGCCCACGGCUUAACCGUGGAGGGUCAUUGGAAACUGGUCGACUUGAGUGCAGAAGAGGGAAGUGGAAUUCCAUGUGUAGCGGUGAAAUGCGUAGAGAUAUGGAGGAACACCAGUGGCGAAGGCGGCUUUCUGGUCUGUAACUGACACUGAGGCGCGAAAGCGUGGGGAGCAAACAGGAUUAGAUACCCUGGUAGUCCACGCCGUAAACGAUGAGUGCUAAGUGU
rnacentral:rRNA from 1 species